rnacentral:rRNA from 1 species
GAGCUUGCUUCUCUGGAUGAGUUGCGAACGGGUGAGUAACGCGUAGGUAACCUGCCUGGUAGCGGGGGAUAACUAUUGGAAACGAUAGCUAAUACCGCAUAAUAGUAGAUGUUGCAUGACAUUUGCUUAAAAGGUGCAAUUGCAUCACUACCAGAUGGACCUGCGUUGUAUUAGCUAGUUGGUGGGGUAACGGCUCACCAAGGCGACGAUACAUAGCCGACCUGAGAGGGUGAUCGGCCACACUGGGACUGAGACACGGCCCAGACUCCUACGGGAGGCAGCAGUAGGGAAUCUUCGGCAAUGGACGGAAGUCUGACCGAGCAACGCCGCGUGAGUGAAGAAGGUUUUCGGAUCGUAAAGCUCUGUUGUAAGAGAAGAACGAGUGUGAGAGUGGAAAGUUCACACUGUGACGGUAUCUUACCAGAAAGGGACGGCUAACUACGUGCCAGCAGCCGCGGUAAUACGUAGGUCCCGAGCGUUGUCCGGAUUUAUUGGGCGUAAAGCGAGCGCAGGCGGUUAGAUAAGUCUGAAGUUAAAGGCUGUGGCUUAACCAUAGUACGCUUUGGAAACUGUUUAACUUGAGUGCAAGAGGGGAGAGUGGAAUUCCAUGUGUAGCGGUGAAAUGCGUAGAUAUAUGGAGGAACACCGGUGGCGAAAGCGGCUCUCUGGCUUGUAACUGA